GACGAACGCUGGCGGCGUGCCUAAUACAUGCAAGUCGAACGCUUCUUUCCUCCCGAGUGCUUGCGCUCAAUUGGCAAGAGGGUUAGCGGACGGGUGAUUACCACGUGGGUAACCUACCCAUCCGAGGGGGAUAACACUUGGAAACAGGUUCUAAUACCGCAUAACAGUUUAUGCCGCAUGGCAUACGAGCGAAAGGCGCUUUCGGGGGUCGCUGAGGGAUGGAGCCGCGGUGCAUUAGCUAGUUGGUGAGGUAACGGCUCACCAAGGCCACGAUGCAUAGCCGACCUGAGAGGGUGAUCGGCCACACUGGGACUGAGACACGGCCCAGACUCCUACGGGAGGCAGCAGUAGGGAAUUUUCGGCAAUGGACGAAAGUCUGACCGAGCAACGCCGCGUGAGUGAAGAAGGUCUUCGGAUCGUAAACCUCUGUUGUUAGGGAAGAACAAGGUCGUUAGUAACUGAAGGUUCCCUGACGGUACCUAACCAGAAAGCCACGGCUAACUACGUG
rnacentral:rRNA from 1 species